CUACGGAGGGUGCAAGCGUUAAUCGGAAUUACUGGGCGUAAAGAGUACGUAGGUGGUUUAUUAAGUCAGAUGUGAAAGCCCCGGGCUUAACCUGGGAACUGCAUUUGAAACUAGUAAGCUAGAGUAUGGUAGAGGGGGGUAGAAUUUCUAGUGUAGCGGUGAAAUGCGUAGAUAUUAGAAGGAAUACCAGUGGCGAAGGCGGCCCCCUGGACCAAUACUGACACUGAGGUACGAAAGCGUGGGUAGCGAACAGGAUUAGAAACCCUAGUAGUCC
rnacentral:rRNA from 1 species